AUGCUUCUGCGUGAGGUGCAUCUUGAUGAGCUUGCUGAGGACGACAUAGUAUGGAAACACUCAGACUCUGGGCAUUACUCUGCGGCAUCUGCUUACAGGGCACAAUUUUUGGGUUUGGUCCUCUCCCCCAUGGACCAAAUGGUUUGGAAGCCUUGGGCCCCACCGAAGGUCAAGUUCUUUUCUUGGCUCGCGCUGCAAGAUAGAAUUUGGACCGCCGACAGACUGGCUAAGCGGGGUUGGCCAAAUUGUGGCCCUUGUGUUGGGGAACGUAGUAAUUUCAAAAAAAUUCCUACGCACACACAGGAUCAUGGUGAUGCAUAG
rnacentral:rRNA from 1 species